UUUAACGGCCGCGGUAUCCUAACCGUGCAAAGGUAGCGUAAUCACUUGUCCCUUAAAUAGGGACCAGUAUGAACGGCUAAAUGAGGAUAAAUCUGUCUCCUUUAACAAAUCAGUGAAACUGAUCCACCAGUACAAAAGCUGGUAUAAUCCCAUAAGACGAGAAGACCCUGUGGAGCUUUAAAUUUAACCCAAGCAAUUAAACACAAACUUGCCACAUGGCCAAAAAUUUUAAGUUGGGGCGACUUCGGAAAAAAACCAAACUUCCGAGCAUAAGACUUUGUCAUAUCAAGACCUACAAGUCGAAACUUAAAUUGACCCAGUAAUACUGACAACCGACCCAAGUUACCCCAGGGAUAACAGCGCAAUCUUCUUCAAGAGUCCCUAUCGACAAGAAGGUUUACGACCUCGAUGUUGGAUCAGGACACCCAAAUGGUGAGCCGCUAUUAAAGG
rnacentral:rRNA from 1 species